UACGGAGGAUGCAAGCGUUAUCCGGAAUGAUUGGGCGUAAAGGGUCCGCAGGUGGCAGUGUAAGUCUGCUGUCAAAGAAUGAGGCUUAACCUUAUCAAGGCAGUAGAAACUACACAGCUAGAGUACGGUCGGGGUAGAAGGAAUUCCUGGUGUAGCGGUGAAAUGCGUAGAGAUCAGGAAGAACACCGGUGGCGAAGGCGUCCUGCUAGGCCUGUACUGACGCUGAGGGACGAAAGCUUGGGGAGCGAAUGGG
rnacentral:rRNA from 1 species